CAUUUUUUUGCGCCUGCGCAUAAAUCUGAGAAGCGUGAGUUUGUCAUCAUUGUUUAUCUAGACAUAGGAUAGGUUGUGUGAAAAUAUUACUGAUGUUUAACGUUAAAAAUGGACCAAAAGAUUAAUGCUAAACAACAUUUGACAUGUUUGAACGAACGUAAAUAGAUUAUUUACUAGGUUUUUUAGCUUUUCGGCGUGAUUUUACACUCCCCCACCACGUUUUGUGGGAGCAUAAUGAACGCUAAGUACUUGGUGUUAUUUGGACAUAAAUUAUGAACUUUGUCAAAAGAAACCACAUUUGUUCCGGACCUGGGAUGCCUUCCGGACCUGGGAUGCCUGCCUUCUGAUGGAGAUAAUCAAAGGAGAGCAAUGCCCAGUUGGAUGGUCACACUGCUAGAAGAGAACAACGCCAGUGGAGUCAAUACUUCGAAAGACUCAACUCAGUCUAUGGACAGUGGUAAUCACACAGCAGUUACUUAACAUGCCAAAAAAGAGUCAACUAUCAUAUACGGGUUAGCUGACAAUGUCACGAAAACAAAGCGCAUGCUUCAAUGUGGCAGAAGUUAAUGUGUAGUUGUGAUUCUGGAUGACCAGAUAACUAGCAACAUUGACAAGAAGCUGACAUGUGGGAAUCUUAGGUGGUUCUUUUCAGCUUGUUGUGUGUAGUUAGUGAUACUGUGAUGAAAAAUGUUCUGUUUGUGUUUUUCUAAUAACCAAUUUCUGUGCUCAUGCAAGUGACUGAUUGAACGUGCAGAGGAGGAAUCCUCACUAUCAGUAUGCAAUUUGGCAGUACACCCAGAACCGUGCUUUGAGAACUAAAGGGAUAUCUUAGUUUCAAGGUCUCAGCUUGGAGAGAGGAAGCCUCUUAUGUUAUUGGUCAGUCACAUGCAUGAACCAAACAUUAAUGAUGAAUUAAUUAUGAAUAAUGAAUAAGCUAAAUCAUGCAAAUAUAACUUGUCUGUGUGAGCAGUAUAUAAGAGAACUAACGGGACUGGCCCGGUGAAGCUCACGUCAGACCGACACUUUAUGCAUCUAAGUUUGACUGGGACGUCUCCAGCGUGCAGUUAAUAAACAAUGAUUCAUUUAAGAUUGACUUAUGGUGUCCCUGUGAAGAAUUUCCACGACAAUACCAUGUCUUGUUUUGACUGAUGCUAAUAUGGCAAAAAUGUGCUAGCUAGCUAAACAACAACUGUAACAGCGUAUUUGAGAGACAACAAGUGCUCAUUGUGCAAAUGUAUUUAUGUUUCCAAUGGUAACACUUUACUUGACACCCAGCGACACACCACGUUAUGACACGCUCAUAACCAUAUCAUUAUAUGGUCAUAACACUGUCAUGACCCAUAUAUGUACACCUGUUGUGACAUAUAUUGCAUUAUUUUAUGGCUGGUUGGUUAUGACAUUUAAAGGUUAUUGUUGUCCUUUGUUGUUAUUGUAAAUAAUAAUUUACAGUCAUGUUUUUUUUCAUCAUAUUUUAAAUAAUUUGCAAAAAAUACACUUCAUGACGCUGUCAUGAAGCAUUAUGACCAUCCUGUGUCACUUUACUUGGACUAAGAAAAUACACUUUAUGACAGUGUCAAGAAGCAUUAUGACCAUCAUAAUCAUAUAAGCUAGAUAGGCCUAUCAUGUACUGAACAAAAAUAUAAACGCAACAUGUAAAGUGUUGGUCCCAUGUUUCAUGAGCUGAAAUAAAAUAUCCCUGAAAUGUUCCAUACGCACAAAAAGCGUAUUCCUCUCAAAUUUUCGGCACAAAUUUGUUUACAUCCCUGUUACUGAGCAUUUCUCCUUUGCCAAGAUAAUCCAUCCACCUGACAGGUGUGGCAUACCAAGAAGUUGAUUAAACAGCAUGAUCAUUAUUCAGGUGUACCUUAUGCUGGGGACAAUAAAAGGUCACACUAAAAUGUGCAGUUUUGCCACACAACACAAUGCCACACAUGCCUCAAGUUUUGAGGGAGCGUGCAAUUGUCAUGCUGACUGCAGGAAUGUCCACCAGAGCUGUUGCCGGGGAAUGUAAUGUUCAUUUCUCCACCAUAAUCCACCUCCAAUGUUGUUUUAAAGAAUAUGACAGUAUGCACAACCGGCCUCUCAACACGCUAACCAGGUCUUCUUCACCUGCGGGAUCAUCUGAGACCAGCUAUCCGGGCAGCUGAUGAAACUGAGGAGUAUUUCUGUCUGUAAUAAAGCCAUUUUUGUGGGGAAAAACUCAUUCUGUUUGCCUAGGCCUGGCUCCCCAGUGGGUGAUUGCCCUCCCAGAUUCGUUUCUCAAUUUUCAAUAGCUCUAAAACCAAGCGUGCCAUCACUAUGAAAAUUAGAUAUUGCAACAAGGGUUACAAUAGUUUAUGUUUUCUGUUAGCCCAGAGGAUAUAAGGAUGUAAUUGUGUA
rnacentral:lncRNA from 1 species